rnacentral:tRNA from 1 species
GGAGUUAUAGUCAACGAUGACAUUUGAUUUGCAAUUAAAAGGUGCUUUUAGAAGCUAACUUCA